rnacentral:rRNA from 1 species
AACGAACGCUGGCGGCAGGCUUAACACAUGCAAGUCGAGCGCCCCGCAAGGGGAGCGGCAGACGGGUGGGUAACGCGUGGGAAUCUACCCAUCUCUACGGAAUAACGCAUGGAAACGUGUGCUAAUACCGUAUACGUCCUUCGGGAGAAAGAUUUAUCGGAGAUGGAUGAGCCCGCGUUGGAUUAGCUAGUUGGUGGGGUAAAGGCCUACCAAGGCGACGAUCCAUAGCUGGUCUGAGAGGAUGAUCAGCCACACUGGGACUGAGACACGGCCCAGACUCCUACGGGAGGCAGCAGUGGGGAAUAUUGGACAAUGGGCGCAAGCCUGAUCCAGCCAUGCCGCGUGAGUGAUGAAGGCCCUAGGGUUGUAAAGCUCUUUCACCGGUGAAGAUAAUGACGGUAACCGGAGAAGAAGCCCCGGCUAACUUUGUGCCAGCAGCCGCCGCUGUAA